rnacentral:rRNA from 1 species
AUUGAACGCUGGCGGCAGGCUUAACACAUGCAAGUCGAGCGGAGUGAUGGUGCUUGCACUAUCACUUAGCGGCGGACGGGUGAGUAAUGCUUAGGAAUCUGCCUAUUAGUGGGGGACAACAUCUCGAAAGGGAUGCUAAUACCGCAUACGUCAUACGGGAGAAAGCGGGGGAUCACUUGUGACAUUGCGCUAAUAGAUGAUCCGAAGUCGGAUUAGCUAGUUGGUGGGGUAAAGGCAUACCAAGGCGACGAUCUGUAGCGGGUCUGGGAGGAUGACCCGCCACACUGGGACUGAGACACGGCCCAGACUCCUACGGGAGGCAGCAGUGGGGAAUAUUGGACAAUGGGGGGAACCCUGAUCCAGCCAUGCCGCGUGUGUGAAGAAGGCCUUAUGGUUGUAAAGCACUUUAAGCGAGGAGGAGGCUUACCUAGUUAAUACCUGGGAUAAGUGGACGUUACUCGCAGAAUAAGCACCGGCUAACUCUGUGCCAGCAGCCGCCGUAAUAC